AUUGAACGCUGGCGGCAUGCCUACACAUGCAAGUCGAACGGGGCAGCAAUGCCUAGUAGCGGACGGGUGAGGAAUACGUAGGAAUCUGCCCUUAAGUGGGGGAUAACCAGGGGAAACCCUGACUAAUACCGCAUGAUCUCUUCGGAGCAAAGAGGGGGACCGCAAGGCCUCUCGCUUCUGGAUGAGCCUACGUCUGAUUAGCUAGUUGGUAGGGUAAAGGCCUACCAAGGCGACGAUCAGUAACUGGUCUGAGAGGAUGAUCAGUCACACCGGAACUGAGACACGGUCCGGACUCCUACGGGAGGCAGCAGUGGGGAAUAUUGGACAAUGGGCGCAAGCCUGAUCCAGCAAUGCCGCGUGUGUGAAGAAGGCCUUCGGGUUGUAAAGCACUUUAGCCUGGAAAGAAAAAACUUUGGUUAACACCCAAAGUCUUGACGGUACCAGGAGAAUAAGCACCGGCUAACUCUGUGCCAGCAGCCGCAGUAAAAC
rnacentral:rRNA from 1 species